CAGGUGGAAGUCUAUUUGGUAUGACGCUUGCUUUGGGUGCGAGAUCUUGCAGGUUCGAUUCCUGUCCACCUGA
rnacentral:tRNA from 1 species